CCGGUGAAAGCGAUGGGCGGGGGACGCGUGGGCCGAGCGGGGCGCCGAGGGUCGUGAAGUCUCGUCUUGGCCACCACCGGUUCCAGCGCCUCGGGCUGACGCGAGCUGCCGCCGCCGCCACGGAACACAGCAAGGGUAUUUUGUGCACCUGGACGGCGGCGCCACUGACACGCAGACACCUGGAUGGGACGACCACCCGACCUAGCCAAGAUAAACAUGAGGGAAGGCGAGCGGAGGAAUCCCUGAGUAAACAAAUGAGCAUCGAGACACCAAGACUAAAGGGACACCUGGACCAUGACGCAACGACGGCGGGAGCCUCACCGGCGUCACCUGGCGGUCCGACUCCUCGCUGCUUGAAUUGGUCUCGCUGGAAUGGCCAUGGCGACUUCGUGUCAAAAACUGUGCCUUAACAAGUAGAGACUGGAAUCUGAUCUCACCUGAAGUCGAUGGAGGCUGGUUCGUCAGCGCUGGAUCCCUUCUUGAUGAGGCGUGACCACAGCUUGUUCCUGAGCUUCUCCUACGCCUGGGGAGGAAUUGAAUCGGUUUGUCAGAUCCACGACCACAAAAACAUGCCAUAGCUAGUGUCAUGAAUAUAUAUAAAGAGUCUGAAACUAU